rnacentral:rRNA from 1 species
CUGAAAAGAACGCUAAUACCGCAUGAGACUACAGAGCUGCAUGGCUCAGUGGUCAAAGGAGCAAUCCGCUGAAAGAUGGACUCGCGUCCGAUUAGAUAGUAGGCGGGGUAACGGCCCACCUAGUCGACGAUCGGUAGCCGGACUGAGAGGUUGACCGGCCACAUUGGGACUGAGAUACGGCCCAGACUCCUACGGGAGGCAGCAUG